CCUGCUCACUGUAUCUAUAAAAAGCCGCUUUUUAAGUGCUAAGGUAGCAUAAUCAUUAGUCUUUCAAUUGAAGAAUAGAAUGAAUGGGAGAACGAGUUUAAAAUUAUAUUUAUUUUUCUCAAUAAAAUUUAUAUAAAAGUAAUAAAGCUUUUUUAAAAAGAAAAGACGACAAGACCCUUUAGAACUUAACUAAAAGUUUAACUGGGGUGGUAAAUUAAAAAACCUAAACAAUUUACAUUUUAAAAAACCUUCAUAUGAAUUAAAAGUUACCUAAGGGAUAACAGCAUAAUUUAACUUUAAAGUUCUUAUAUCAAGUUAAGAUUAUGACCUCGAUGUUGAAUUAUAAUAACUUUUAAUAGAAAACUAUUUAAUAAGAAAGUCUGUUCGACUUUUAAUAAUAUACAU
rnacentral:rRNA from 1 species